UUCCGGUUGAUCCUGCCGGACCCGACUGCUAUCAGAGUGAGAUUAAGCCAUGCGAGUCGACGUAGCAAUGCGUGGCGAACGGCUCAGUAACACGUAGUCAACAUGCCCAGGGGACGUGGAUAACCUCGGGAAACUGAGAAUAAACCACGAUAGGUCACGAUUUCUGGAAUGGAUCAUGGCCUAAAUCUACAUGGCCCCUGGAUUGGACUGCGGCCGAUCAGGCUGUUGGUGAGGUAAUGGCCCACCAAACCUAUAACCGGUACGGGCUCUGAGAGGAGAAGCCCGGAGAUGGGCACUGAGACAAGGGCCCAGGCCCUAUGGGGCGCAGCAGGCGCGAAACCUCUGCAAUAGGCGAAAGCCUGACAGGGUUACUCUGAGUGAUUUCCGCUAAGGGGAUCUUUUGGCACCUCUAAAAAUGGUGCAGAAUAAGGGGUGGGCAAGUCUGGUGUCAGCCGCCGCGGUAAUACCAGCACCCCGAGUGGUCGGGACGAUUAUUGGGCCUAAAGCAUCCGUAGCCGGUUCUGCAAGUCUUCCGUUAAAUCCAGCCGCUCAACGGAUGGGCCGCGGAGGAUACUACAGGACUAGGAGGCGGGAGAGGCAAGCGGUACUCAGUGGGUAGGGGUAAAAUCCUUUGAUCCAUUGAAGACCACCAGUGGCGAAGGCGGCUUGCCAGAACGCGCUCAACGGUGAGGGAUGAAAGCUGGGGGAGCAAACCGGAUUAGAUACCCGGGUAGUCCCAG
rnacentral:rRNA from 1 species